rnacentral:rRNA from 1 species
UACGUAGGGUGCGAGCGUUACUCGGAAUUACUGGGCGUAAAGCGUGCGCAGGCGGUUCGUUGUGUCGGCGGUGAAAGCCCCGGGCUUAACCUGGGAACGGCCGUCGAAACUGGCGAACUGGAGUGUGGCAGAGGGGGGUGGAAUUCCGCGUGUAGCAGUGAAAUGCGUAGAGAUGCGGAGGAACACCGAUGGCGAAGGCAGCCCCCUGGGCUGACACUGACGCUCAGGCACGAGAGCGUGGGGAGCAAACAGG